rnacentral:lncRNA from 1 species
GUGAAUUUUAAAAGUCUCCAUCUUGGUAUAGCACCAAAAAUUGUGCACACCCACACUACACAGGCAUGUGCUAGUCAAUGACAAAUCAGAAAUAACUAACUGCCCACCUGGGCUGUCCUAAGCUAAGCUAGAGCCAACCAUUGGCACUUGUGAGACACAGGAAGUGAGGUAGGGAACAGCCUCUGGAAUUCGCUCACUUCCUGUGGAGAGAGCUAGAGAGGAGUUGGUGUUAGGAGCUUGGAGGGAGAGGACGCCCGCAGACAGCUUUCCUUCAGAUCACUCACCCUGGAAUUUAUGUAAAGAAUGGAGAGAGGAGAGGCUGGAUUCAGUGAGAUCAAUGAAGAGGCUAUCACAGUAAUCCAAAGGAGAGAUCAUGGAAUCCCAAACAAAAUGAAUUACUAUAAGCUGAUUCUGGAGUCAGGGCCCCUUCACCCCGGGGGCCUCCUCCAUUGGUGCACUGACAAACUUUGCCUUCUGGAUGAGAAGCCUCUGUUGCCCGCGGGAAUUCUACAGAGAUCCUGUGAGGCCAGGAUGACUUUACUAGCUGGGACCACGUGA